CGAUAUCUUAUCAUUGAUAAUGCGUUGUAUGUAUUUAGUGUUCGAUAGCAUUGUAAAGAGUACGGAUCAAUAUGAGUGGUGUCCAUUUUGAAGGCGAUAAUGGCGUGCAAAUCGCCGACAAUGAUUAUGGUGGGGGAGUUGAUGUCGUAGACAAUGAUUAUGGUGGGGGAGUUAACGUCGUAGACAACGAUUAUGGCGGGGGCGUCAAUGUUGUAGAUAAUGAUUAUGGCGGGGUAGUGAGUGUUGUUGAUAAUGAUUAUGGGGGGGAGUUAACGUCGUAGACAAUGAUUAUGGCGGGGGAGUCAAUGUUGUAGACAAUGAUUAUGGCGGGGGAGUGAGUGUUGUCGAAAAUGAUUAUGGUGGGGGAGUUGAUGUUGUGGAUAAUGAUUAUGGCGGGGGAGUUAAUGUUGUAGAUAAUGAUUAUGGCGGUCAAUUUUCAGAUCGACGAUGAAAACAAUUUAAUUUUUAGUAAUAUUUUAAAAUAAAUAAUUUCCCUAUA